AGAGACACAGCCCUGCUCACCCGGGGGCAGGCACUGUGUGCUGGCCCCCCAGGCACACCACACAAACGCUCCAGGUCUGCAAUCAAAGCCAGUCAGGAAAUCCUGCAAGCUUCUGCCUUCCUUUGAACACUCUACACUUGCAGCUCUGCAGGUACCAGGCAGUGACCAAAACCCAAACCAAAGCCUUGCUAAUCUGUGAGUUCCAGUCAUAACCCCAAAAUAACCGGUGACAACAGGGCAGAAACAAGGGGCCGACCCUGAGGAAUAAGGGUCAGACUGUGUCACUCCUCUUGGGUCAGACACACCUGGGCUAAUCCCAGACAGGACAGGAUUUCCACACCGUGUCUACAAUGUAGGUUGGACAUCUGCUCCUGUUUGAACAUCAAGCAGCAACUCCAGAAUCCAUGUACCUGCCGACCUGGACCACCUUCUUUCUCACUACCCAGCCAGGUGAUGCUAUUAAUCAGGACUUCAGCAUCACACAGACCCCAGGACCUGACAAGUCUGCACACAUCCCCCUCCCUCUCCAGCUCCUCUGGCGCCCCUUUAGCCACUGGAAAGGGCUCUGAAGUCUCUCUGGAUCCUUCUCUUCUCCAGGCUAAACACCCCCAGCUCUCCCAGGCUGACUCCAGAGCAGAGGGGCUCCAGCCCUGGAGCAUCUCGGUGGCUUUCUCUGGACUCGCUCCAGCAUCUCCUUAUGCCAGGGGCCCUGCAGCUGAACACAACUAGAUUAUCCUUAAGGCUCCUUCCAACCCAUUCCAUACAGUUCCAUACAACUCCAUGCUGGUUACAGCCUGCCUUUUCAAAGGCACACUUUGUUCUCCUCGGGAGUUCAUCCUCAUUACAUGGUAGUCUUUUAGCACAGAAAUAGUGUGAAUUGCUCACGGUAGAAAAAAAAAUAAGGUUAAAUUCUGCAUCCCCGUCUCUCCGGCAAUUGUUCAGUGCGACAUUUCCCCUGUCAGACCACAGGAGCUCAGCAGCAAUUGAGUCCCAACAGCACAGAGCUCCUCAGCAGCCGACCCACCCGCUGGGAAGAGCAUCUUACAGCUCACAGUUCGCUAAUAACCUCCUGAACAGAUGCUGAACAGCCUCAAAACCUGCUGAAAUCAAUGGCAACAAAACGCAUCCUGCAAAUCCAGCCUCUUACUCGGGAUUACGAGUGCCUAGCUGUGGAUGCCUGCCUCUGCACUGAUACAAAAGGCUGCAAACUAAAGAACUUCAAGCAUUGCUGAUGCCUGGAAGGUCCUUUCAAAAUAAUAAUUUUUUACUUCCAGUUCUGAGGGUUACUUUCUGAGGUGCUGGCACUAUAUGCCAAUUAUAGAGAACAACAAAAAGGGAAGUUUCAAUGGCUGCAUUGAUACUUCUGCACUGUAAGAACUCCUUAGCCCAGAGGGUGGCUGGGCACCGACCAGGCUCCCCAGGGAAUGGUCACAGCCCCGAGGCUGCCAGAGCUCCAGAAGCACUUGGAUAUCGCUCUCAGGCACAGGGUGGCAUUGCUGGGGUGUCCUGUGCAGGGCCAGGAGUUGAAUCAAUGACCAGGAGUCCCUUCCAACCCAGGACAUCCCGCCAGUGUCUGACUUAGGGUGAGGCUAGGCACGUUUCCACCCGCAUCAUGAAGGACACAGCGCAGAGUGAGACGUGCAACGAGUACGAUCCCAGGUCGAUGGAGCAUUGAUAAAAGUGUUCUUUCACACGUUUUGGAAGCGGCACUGCGGUAUCAAAGUCUAAGGCGAGUACCGGGGUGGGUAAGGCAGGGACACAGCGAGCGCGGCACGGCCGGCCGGGGCUGAGCGGCGGGAGGGCAGCGCUGAGCCCGGGCUCACAGCUCGCACCGCGCCGGCAGCGACCGGCACCGGCAGCAUCUCCGCACGAACGCCUUCAGGCAGGCAGGAGAGCGGCUGGCUCCGAGCGCAGUUCCGCGGCGGGCAGCAGACAGACAGAACCGCAGGCAAAAGCCGCACCGAGCGCGGCGGGGCUGCGGCCGGGGCCGGGUACCGCGCUGGCCCCGGCCGGACAGAGCCCUGCGGGGUGCCCGCGGAGACCCCGCGCCCGCGGCCCCCUCAGCGCAGUGGCGGGAAGCCGCCAUCACCGCGCGCAGCCCUGGGAAGCCCUCCCGCAGCCCCGACUUGUUUUCCCUGUCUAAUAAAAAUAAAUGCGAGUUCUCCUGUGUUCCAAGCAGCUGCAGCAUCUUUCCCAGAUCCCAGCCCACCUCUCUCCACCAGCUGCCCAGGAAAUUGCACAGCAGUCUCUGGACACCAAUGACCGUGAGGGAGGAGGAGAAGCUGAGGAGCUCCUGUACCUGCUUGCCCUGGGGCAGGAGGUUCAGCGUGCCGUACACCACCACGCUGCUCUCCGUGGACAGCACCAGCCCGUUGUAGCACUGGCACUGCAGCGAGACAGACAAAGGCACAGAUGUGUGCCUGCAUGGCAAUUCCUACAAUGCCACCAGCAGCAGCCUGGGAACAGAGCCCGCCAAAGUGAUCUGGGGUAAGGUUAAAUUAACUGUAGUCACUUUCCCUCCUCAGAGAACUAAACUGCCCUGGAAAACCUCGUUAAGAGAGGAGAUCUCAUUAAGUGCUACCCUGUAGGCAGCACAAGUGCUCUGUGCUGUGGACACACCAUUAGCAUGCUGCAGGAGGCAAUGGAAUUGUGCCCGGGGCUGGCCGGGAGCCUGCGGAAAAGCUCCCGCAGUCGGGAGAGAGAUGAGAGCUGCUGUGGGAGCUGGGGCAAAGGAGUCCUCCCCUGACAGGCCAACAAAUUGCUUUAGAGUUAAGUUUCUUGACACCUGGUCUGGAAGGAAAGGGCUGGCUGGGACGGCAGAGCCGUGUCAGAAGUUCAGAGGAAGGUGGGGAGGGAUCACGAUGUGAAAGGGGAGAUGGGAGGAACCGAUAGCACGGAGCAGCAGAGAUGCCAACUAAGCCCGAGGCAGCAGGUAAGAGAGGGGAGCACACACCCAGCAGAACCUGGAUGCAGGAAGCACCCAGCAGAAACUCAAGGGGAACAAACAUAGCAAGAAGAGAGAGGCCACUACUGCUUUGGGUCACUAUUCUGAGCACUGUGGAAACAGUUCAUGGGGGGACUGAGAUGGAACAACAUGGUUGUUAAAUACUGCUUGAUCAAAACCUCCGAGAACACUUUAAAAAGCUGGUUCUUGGCUGCACAGCCCUCAUGUUCUAGUUCCUGACUUGACAACAGGGGCUUUCACACGGCUUCAGACCAGUUUCAGAUCAGAAAACCUUACAUUAACCAUUUCAGUCUAGAGGAAGCAUCAGCUCCUACUGCCUGGAUGGGUGGGGAGCAGUGCCCAGCUCUCAGUUCUGCCUUCCAGCCUGGAAAAUCCUGCUGAUCCAACAGCAGGAUGGAUAUAGGGGGAGAUAAAGGAGAUCAAAACAGUAUUAAGCACAGGUUUAAGUAUACCUGAUCCACUUUAUUUACUAAAAGGGCAAAUUCCACAGUGCUUCAGUAACUCAGGUUUUGUGUCUACAUCUGCCUCAGGGCAAGCACCAGAUAAUAGGGAACAAAUUAAACCUUGUAAAAACUCCACUUACUGCAUUGGUUUCCAGGCAGUAAACAACAACCCAAAGCAAUCUUAUUCUAAAUUCUUCUCUGGAGAGUCACUGCCCAUGACACUGCUACAAGAACCUGGGGUGACUUCUUGAAAAUUGGGUCAUCACUCAAAGUGCCCUGAAAGUUAAGGACUCCAUCUAGAACAAGGGACGUGUAUAGUAAAAGGAUUAAAAUGCCACUAAAGCUGUUAUUUUCUGUUUAUUAUGGAUAUAAAAACCUACAAGCCUCACCAUUACACACCUGCAGGCCACCACCCUGCAUGUUCCUGUCCUUGGCACCAUAUUCUGCACUACCUCACACACUCUGGCAGUGCCAAGCUCAACAGCUGCUCAAACCUGGCCACGCAACAAGAUCGGUAUUUUAAGCAAGAAUCAUAAAGCAAACUCAAAUAGUACAAAAAGUAACUCAGAGACCCUUCUGAAACUGCUUCAGGUCUCUGGAGUUUAAAUAGGACAAAACAGCUACGGCAAGAUGUUCUACUGAUUUAACUUGGCAUUUAAAAAAGCACUUAAAUGCAAAGCCUGAGCCUCAGAGACGUAAGAUUUAUUUCUUUACUAGGUGUUACUGGAGCAUCCAGCAUUGCAAAACAAAACCUGCUUCCUGGGGCUGAAUACAAACUCCCCAAACUGCAGCAGAAAGCCAUGUCUGACACCAGCCUCUGGGGUGGGGUUCCCACAAGGACCUGCUGGCAGAUGUGAUUACAAUUACAUGUUCUCUAAGAGACAGCAGAAUUAUUCUGCCAUCCUCAGCUGUCCCUCACCAGUAACAGAGAGUCAGAGCCAAAAUGGGAACAUCGACAAAGAGCCUGGUAGGGAACAGCAACCAAGAGGGCACUCUGGGGCUGCCACCCUGGAGAGCACCCACAGGAGAAAUCAGAGCCCACAGAGCACCUGCAUGGCUCCACCAGAGCAGACACCUUUAUUCCAGGGGCUCGAGUCCAUAUCCCAGCUCAAACCCUGCGAGGUUUCAGACUCGUCUUUCAUCCAUGGGCACAGGACUAAGGGAUGGCUGUAACUGCACUUGAGACCUGAAAUUUGGAAUUGCAAAGACAGCCCAGCAUCCACUCUCAGGUCAUCAUCCAUCCUCAGCCCAAUAAUGACACAAUUGGUACCAGUUAAUGCUCCUCAAGUUAUUUUUAACACCCCCAAAGCAUGGCCAGAAGCCAAGGCUUCAAACAGCAGGAUAUUGCAUUUCUGCUCUCCCCUCAGGGAUCCCAGCCUAAGGCUUUGGCAGAGUAUGGGCCUUCAUUAAAAAUGUGUUCAGCAACUCAUCUCCCUGGAACCAGAGCUGCUACAGGGAAACCAGCAAAUCAUCAACUGCUUCCAAUAGAUGAGAUGGAUCACUGAUUACUCACAGCAGAUAUGAAAUGUGACUGGUAGCAAGUGCUUGGACAGGCAGAUAGACAGGUUUUCUGAAAAGCUAAAACCUUCCAGGUAAUCUUUAUGACAUUUUGAGAGGAAAAGAAAACAGCAGCUAGAAUAGCAUGAAUCAGCACAAAUGGGCCAAGGAAAUAACCUUCACUCCAAACAGUACUAACUUCAGGUAGAUUGCCAUGUAAAUUACAUGCUUAAAACUGAUCAAUUUAUAGAUCUACUUCACACACAACAGCUCCAGUUACUUCCUUGAAUGGCUGCCUUACAGUAAUUGAAGACACAAAAAUGCUAUCUUGAAGGGAAUGAUUUCCCUCAGUCAUCUGUUCUCAAACACACUGGCUGUCCCAUGCACACUAAGAAAGGUAAAGCCCCAGAGCUGGGAUGCCCCAGAGAAAGGUGAGCUCAGGAGUUUAAUGUAUUUUGAGCCAGCUGAGGCUAAGAGUGUAGGGUAAUGAAAGCCAGCUCCUGACCCUACACACUGUGACCCUGGAAACAGCUCCCACUGGAGCCUGCCAAUACGUGGUGACUCAGAAUCACCCCAAAAGGUUAAAAUCAGAGGGAUUCCAGUAUGGCUGCAGAUAAAAUGCUCGUGGGGAAGUGAUGCACCCACACAACUCAGGAGAGCACCACGUGUUAUACCCGAGAUCUGCACCCAACAGAAGCACCAAGGACCCCACUCUCCCUGCAAGGUGAGAAGUCCUCGGGGCUCCUGUUCUGCGAGUGACAGGUCCCAGAGGAGUCAGCCUGGCUGCACCAUCGAGUGCUGCUGGGCACCCAGCCCCUCAGUUUACACACACCAUUUUUAAAUGCAAAGUGCAUCUAUUUGAUUCACAUUAGUACCUUAACACAGGCACUUACUACUGCUCUGGAGGCUGUACAAACUCUGAGGAUUAAGGACUAAUUCCAGUUCCAAGAGACUUUUAAAUUGCUAUUGUAUGCAGCCAACCUUGCAACACCCACAGAUCUUUAGUUCCUCCCCUGAACACACUGCAGACCUGUUCAAGCAAGCUGAGACACCAAGACCCUGAAACCCUCUAGAGGGAGGAGAGAGGGUACAGUUCUGUGCUGCUGACAAAUGUUGAAGUCCCAUCUUGGGGAAAAAAUUAAAAUAGAAAGCAGAGGCUAUUGUGUACUCCCCGGUGUAGCUACUUAUUAAAACUUGUAUGAAAAGAAGUAUGAAGGACUUUCCAAUAUAACUCCUUUAUCCCGAUGAGCCAACAGGAUUUGACACAGGGAAGAGAUUAACUAGACAGCAAGAAUUUAACAGAAAAUCACUGCAAGAAAGAGACCCACAGCGUACAGGGCAGCUGCCUGAGGUUACACAAAAAGGGCUGAAGAUGGGCCAUUGCAGGAACCAAAUCAUCAUUUCUCCACUAUCUGCCCUAGGAUUUCUCAUUAAUAGAUCUGCAGAGUUCUGUCAUUUAAAGUCCAAGGCAAGACAAGCUAUCUUUGCAGAAGAUAAGAGGUUAGUAACCUUUGCUCAAGCUGCAGGUUCCAGCCCUCUCUGAAGGGGUUUCAGCCUGCCUUUUCGAGGGUGUUACCUUGGUCUCGAGGUUCAUGUUAUACAACAGCACAUAUUGAAGUUAAUAGAGGGAAAAAUAAUUAUUGUUGUGCACAUCUAAACUGCCUUGUUUGGAGUAGAAGAUUUUUGGAACUUCAUAGAGAGUUUUUUUCCUAGCAAUCACUGUCACCAUCAAAACCAGCAGGUAUUUUUAACUGGACUAAAUAAAGGUUACUUCCUGCUACCAAGAUUGGAGAUGCCAUUGACACACCUCUUCUGGCAGCAUCUACAACAGACACUAAAGCCAC